rnacentral:tRNA from 1 species
UCCCUGGUGGCUGAGACGGUAAAGCCUCUGCCUACAGUGCAGGGGACCCGAGUUCAAUCCCUGGGUUGGGAA